rnacentral:rRNA from 1 species
GACGAACCGUACGAACGUUAUUCGGAAUCACUGGGCUUAAAGGGUGCGUAGGCGGCGCGGCAAGUUGGGUGUGAAAUCCCUCGGCUCAACCGAGGAACUGCGUCCAAAACUGCCGUGCUCGAGGGAGACAGAGGUGAGCGGAACUUAGGGUGGAGCGGUGAAAUGCGUUGAUAUCGGGAGGAACUCCGGCGGCGAAAGCGGUGCACUGGUGGAUUACUGACGCUGAGGUGCGAAAGCCAGGGGAGCAAACGGG